GACGAACGCUGGCGGCGUGCUUAACACAUGCAAGUCGAGCGGUAAGGCCCUUUCGGGGUACACGAGCGGCGAACGGGUGAGUAACACGUGGGCGACCUACCCUCAGCUUCGGGAUAAGCCUGGGAAACUGGGUCUAAUACCGGAUAUGACCUUCCCUCGCAUGGGGGUUGGUGGAAAGUUUUUCGGUCUGGGAGUGGCCCGCGGCCUAUCAGCUUGUUGGUGGGGUGGAUGGCCUACCAAGGCGACGACGGGUAGCCGGCCUGAGAGGGCGACCGGCCACACUGGGACUGAGAUACGGCCCAGACUCCUACGGGAGGCAGCAGUGGGGAAUAUUGCGCAAUGGGCGGAAGCCUGACGCAGCGACGCCGCGUGGGGGAUGACGGCC
rnacentral:rRNA from 1 species